GGCUGUAUUUCAAAACACGUAGUAACUAAGUGUUCAGUUGUGCCAAGUAUCAUCAGAUAAGACGAUCCAUUUCUGUUUUGCGUUGAAUUUUGUAUUUCAUCACAUUUGUCCUGAACGACUGACUCUGUGUAAUUGAGAUAUUUAAACCGAUUUGAUUUUGAAACGGAUUUCUGUAUCAACAUUUAUUUUAUUCUGGAUGCAACAUAUCGAUAUAUACGAAAUCCGUUCUUGUGAAACGCUCUCCGGCAUCGAUAUUUUUUUUUUAAAUUGAACAUUCAAACCGAAACAGUCGAGUUGAACACAUUUCAAUCAAUCAAAAUGCAUUUUCACAAGUUUGUCAUUCUGUUGCUGCUCAUUAUCACACUGAUAAUAUGCAAAAUUCAGUGUAAAUGUGUGCCUGUAGCGGGACUGCACUCGUGGGAUAUGUGGUAUUUAGAUAAUGAUGACUAUAGAACAGCCGAAGUCUGUAUACCCGACGAAGAAUCAAAUGAAUCGCUCCAAUCUCUAUAGUGUGGAUAUGUGAACAGAAUAUUCAUGUUCAUGUGUUUUACGUUUAGCAUAUCCAUAUUGUAACUAUGUAAUGAAUAGCAUAAUAAAUAAACUGAUAUCAAUAGUACUGAAAAUACGAUUCGGUUCGAUGUACUGACUAUCUAAUGUAAAGCGGGUUGAAAAUGUAAAGCAACAAGGGACAGUUAUAAUUAAAAGCCAGCAAUUUCAUUAAACA